UAUUUCUUAGCCUCACCGUCAACCUCACCAUUAGCUAUGCCAUCGCCUUGGGUGUGGAGCUUCAAAAAGGAGCGGCCUCAAGGGCUUGUUGUCUGUCUAAUUUUCGCCAUCCAACCUUGGUUGUUCAAGAAGGAUUGAUCUUGUCUUCGAGUGGGAGUUAGAUUUUUG